CGAUUUGGUUUGGGGGAGACCAACUGGUGGAAGUGUUUCCACCUCCAUCUUUCGGAGAUGGACCCAAGGGUUUGUUUUUAGUGAGUAUGAGAAAACAGCACUGGAGCAGUUUGAAGGAGGGCCAUGUGCUGUAAUUGCACCUGUCCAGGCUUUCCUCUUGAAGAACUUUCUUUUUAACCGAGAAACUAUUAACUGGAGGCAAAUGUCAGAAGAGGAGCAGAAAACGGCUCUGUGUUCAACACUGAGCGAAAUCCUUGAGUCUGCAUGUGCCAGCCCUUCCACAGGGUUCUGCCUGGUGACCUGGGCCAAGGGACAAAGCCCAGACACAAGCACACUCACCAAGACACAGUCGCAAACACAGGACGAGCCUGAGAGCAGCCAGACGCAUCACGACCCAC